AAAGUUGUUGCAGUUAAAAAGCUCGUAGUUGGAUUUCGGAAGGUCCUUAGUAGUCCGCCCCUUCGGGGAGCGGGCUGCUGGCCUCCUAUGUUCCUAACGGUCCUCAUCCGCGAGGGUGGGGAAUCAACCGCUAGGAUCGUUUACUUUGAGGAAAUUAGAGUGUUCAAAGCAGGCGUAACUCGCCUCCGAAUACGUUAGCAUGGGAUAAUGGAAUACGACUUCGGUCUUGUUUCGUUGGUUUCGCUUGGCUGAAGUAAUGAUUGAUAGGGACAGUUGGGGGCAUUAGUAUUUAGUUGUCAGAGGUGAAAUUCUAGGAUUUACUAAAGACUGACCAAUGCGAAAGCAUUUGCCAAGGAUGUUUUCAUUAAUCAAGAACGAAAGUAGGGGGAUCGAAGACGAUCAGAUACCGUCGUAGUCUCUACCGUAAACUAUGCCGACCAGGGAUCCGGAGAGUUUGCAUGGAUGACUCCCCGGGCACCUUGUGAGAAAUCAUAAGUGUUUGGGUUUUGGGGGGAGUAUGGUCGCAAGGCUGAAACUUAAAGGAAUUGACGGAAGGGCACCACCAGGAGUGGAACCU
rnacentral:rRNA from 1 species